GAGGGUAUAGCUCAGUGGUAGAGCGCGUGCUUAGCAUGCACAAGGUCCUGGAAGGUCCUGGGUUCAAUCCCCAGUACCGCCA
rfam:Camelus ferus unplaced genomic scaffold scaffold954, whole genome shotgun sequence.